GAUGGUGACCCAAACCCUCACCAGAGUAGCAAUUGGAGGGCAAGUCUGGUGCCAGCAGCCGCGGUAAUUCCAGCUCCAAUAGCGUAUAUUAAACUUGUUGCAGUUAAAAAGCUCGUAGUUGUAUUUUUGCGUUAGCGGUUUGACCAUUUGGUUGGUUAUUUCGUUUUCGCUUUUGGGAAUUUCCCUUUUUACUUUGAGAAAAUUAGAGUGUUUCAAGCAGACUUUUGUCUUGAAUACUUCAGCAUGGAAUAAUAGAGUAGGACUUUGGUUCUAUUUUGUUGGUUAUUGAACCUUAGUAAUGGUUAAUAGGAACGGUUGGGGGCAUUCGUAUUUAACUGUCAGAGGUGAAAUUCUUAGAUUUGUUAAAGACGAACUACUGCGAAAGCAUUUGCCAAGGACGUUUCCAUUAAUCAAGAACGAAAGUUAGGGGAUCGAAGACGAUCAGAUACCGUCGUAGUCCUAACCAUAAACUAUGCCCACCAGUGAUUGGAGGUCGUCC
rnacentral:rRNA from 1 species